rnacentral:lncRNA from 1 species
GUUGUGUCAUGUGUACUAUUGUUUUUCUGUUUGUCUUUUUCAUUUUUAGCCAUGGCGUUGUCAGUUUGUUUUAGAUUUAUGAGUUUGACUGUCCCUUUGGUAUCUUUCGUCCCUCUUUUGUUAAUACAUGUAUUCCCAAAAUCAUUUUAUGGCGAAGUCUAUGAAGCAAUUCGAGAUACAUGUACCGUGGUUUAUGUACUCAUUUUAUAGACGUCGUAGUUUAAAUACAUUAUGUCAACAUGUGUUUAACCCAUAAAACUAAACAAAUAUAAAAAGAAGAUGUGGUAUGAUUGCCAAUGAGACAACUCUCCACAAGAGACUGGCAAACUGACACAGAAACUAACAACUAUAGGUCACCGUACGGCCGUCAACAACGAGCAAAGCCCAUAACGCAAAGUUCAUUAAUUUUAAUUUUUCUUUAAUAGUGUAGUACAUGAUUUGGGCUAU